AUCUAGCCCCGAUUGCAGCGGCAUCCCUCGCUUUUUUGGAGCGAGGAUACAGCGAAAAGCGGGACAAAUU
rnacentral:sRNA from 2 species